CCUAGCUGGACCUGGCACCCAGACCACUUCAUUAAGCUGAAGUGGUCUGGGUGCCUAUAGUGGUCCUUUAACACAAACCUCUGGUUUUUCAGUUUUAACCUUUUAAUGACAAGCACUGUAUGUUGCCGUCACAAAUACACUUCAGACAGCCAACAUACUAUGAUAGCCAUUUAUAAUGCCCUAAAGCCACGUGUCUUGACAAUCGCGGCAAAACCCAACUAUUGCUGGGCUCUUAAAUUCUCUGGAAUUUCUACCAUUGAAUAAAAUAAUUGAAAAUAUCUUGUGUUAAUCUUUUUUUUCCCAUUUGAUGUUCUUCUUUCUCUGAAAUUUAUAUGAAAGAUUUAUCAAAUUAUGUCAUAAUCCAG